rnacentral:rRNA from 1 species
AUUGAACGCUGGCGGCAUGCUUUACACAUGCAAGUCGAACGGUAACAGGCCGCAAGGUGCUGACGAGUGGCGAACGGGUGAGUAAUGCAUUGGAACGUGCCCAGUCGUGGGGGAUAACGCAGCGAAAGCUGUGCUAAUACCGCAUACGAUCUAUGGAUGAAAGCGGGGGACCGUAAGGCCUCGCGCGAUUGGGGCGGCCGAUGUCAGAUUAGCUAGUUGGUGGGGUAAAGGCCCACCAAGGCGACGAUCUGUAGCUGGUCUGAGAGGACGACCAGCCACACUGGGACUGAGACACGGCCCAGACUCCUACGGGAGGCAGCAGUGGGGAAUUUUGGACAAUGGGCGCAAGCCUGAUCCAGCAAUGCCGCGUGCAGGAAGAAGGCCUUCGGGCUGUAAACUGCUUUUGUCAGGGAAUAAAAAGCCCUGGGUUAAUACCCUGGGGUCAUGACGGUACCGUAAGAAUAAGCACCGGCUAACUACGUGCCAGCAGCCGCGGUAAAAC